rnacentral:rRNA from 1 species
UACGUAGGUGGCAAGCGUUGUCCGGAUUUACUGGGCGUAAAGAGCGCGCAGGCGGUCGGAUAAGUCGAAUGUGAAAGCCCCCGGCUCAACUGGGGAGGGUCACGCGAUACUGAUCGACUCGAAGGCAGGAGAGGGGUAGUGGAAUUCCCGGUGUAGUGGUGAAAAUGCGUAGAUAUCGGGGAGGAACACCAGUGGCGAAGGCGACUACCUGGCCUGUUCUU